UGUGAGGGUUGCUGGAGGUAUCAGAAGUGCGAAUGCUGACAUAAGUAACGAUAAAGCGGGUGAAAAGCCCGCUCGCCGGAAGACCAAGGGUUCCUGUCCAACGUUAAUCGGGGCAGGGUGAGUCGACCCCUAAGGCGAGGCCGAAAGGCGUAGUCGAUGGGAAACGGGUUAAUAUUCCCGUACUUGGUGUUACUGCGAAGGGGGGACGGAGAAGGCUAUGUUGGCCGGGCGACGGUUGUCCCGGUUUAAGCGUGUAGGUGUGUGUUCCAGGUAAAUCCGGUUCACUUUAACACUGAGGCGUGACGACGAGGCACUACGGUGCUGAAGCAACAAAUGCCCUGCUUCCAGGAAAAGCCUCUAAGCAUCAGGUAACAUCAAAUCGUACCCCAAACCGACACAGGUGGUCAGGUAGAGAAUACCAAGGCGCUUGAGAGAACUCGGGUGAAGGAACUAGGCAAAAUGGUGCCGUAACUUCGGGAGAAGGCACGCUGACACGUAGGUGAAGUGAUUUACUCAUGGAGCUGAAGUCAGUCGAAGAUACCAGCUGGCUGCAACUGUUUAUUAAAAACACAGCACUGUGCAAACACGAAAGUGGACGUAUACGGUGUGACGCCUGCCCGGUGCCGGAAGGUUAAUUGAUGGGGUCAGCGCAAGCGAAGCUCCUGAUCGAAGCCCCGGUAAACGGCGGCCGUAACUAUAACGGUCCUAAGGUAGCGAAAUUCCUUGUCGGGUAAGUUCCGACCUGCACGAAUGGCGUAAUGAUGGCCAGGCUGUCUCCACCCGAGACUCAGUGAAAUUGAACUCGCUGUGAAGAUGCAGUGUACCCGCGGCAAGACGGAAAGACCCCGUGAACCUUUACUAUAGCUUGACACUGAACAUUGAGCCUUGAUGUGUAGGAUAGGUGGGAGGCUUUGAAGUGUGGACGCCAGUCUGCAUGGAGCCGACCUUGAAAUACCACCCUUUAAUGUUUGAUGUUCUAACGUGGACCCGUUACCCGGGUUGCGGACAGUGUCUGGUGGGUAGUUUGACUGGGGCGGUCUCCUCCUAAAGAGUAACGGAGGAGCACGAAGGUUGGCUAAUCCUGGUCGGACAUCAGGAGGUUAGUGCAAUGGCAUAAGCCAGCUUGACUGCGAGCGUGACGGCGCGAGCAGGUGCGAAAGCAGGUCAUAGUGAUCCGGUGGUUCUGAAUGGAAGGGCCAUCGCUCAACGGAUAAAAGGUACUCCGGGGAUAACAGGCUGAUACCGCCCAAGAGUUCAUAUCGACGGCGGUGUUUGGCACCUCGAUGUCGGCUCAUCACAUCCUGGGGCUGAAGUAGGUCCCAAGGGUAUGGCUGUUCGCCAUUUAAAGUGGUACGCGAGCUGGGUUUAGAACGUCGUGAGACAGUUCGGUCCCUAUCUGCCGUGGGCGCUGGAGAACUGAGGGGGGCUGCUCCUAGUACGAGAGGACCGGAGUGGACGCAUCACUGGUGUUCGGGUUGUCAUGCCAAUGGC
rnacentral:rRNA from 1 species